GUGCAGGGGAGUGUUUUUGCAAGCAAGCCAUGGUUGAAGCAGUUUGGUAGUUAGGUUUGACAUGUCUGGGUGCAACAAAAUUUAUCUUGGUGGACUUCAUGGAGUGCGUGGAGUGUCAGCUUUCACAUUGGGACAUAAUGUGUAUCUUCAAUUGAUCAACGGGGCUGCACUUAUUGAAAGUGUUCUUUUGCCAAAUGCCGAGUCAGUAGAUCUUGCCGACUGCAGACCGAUUCUUUCUGAGACUCAAGGGCUUUCCAAUACCAACGCGGAGCAGAGGUUGCCAUGUAAAUUGCAAUUUGCAAGAAUAAUAGCUUCUUUGUUUUGGGCACCACAAGAAUUAAAUGGCAGCAGCACCAAAGGAAGUGCACCUAUGCUACGUGGAAUUGCAGAGUAAUUUCAAAUGCAGAAACAUCAUGCGUCUGUAGCAUGUGGAUCCGGCAAUGGAAAUAAUUGCACGACCCUUAGCGUCAAAGCUUGAUGCCCAUGGCAGCGUGCUUCUUGCUUCAAAGUAAUUCCACAAUUAUGUCUGACGCUUUCUAGGAAGGUCUCCUUUCCACAUCUCUCCCUCAAGUCAUUUUGCAAUUAUGUGAUGGUUCUUUCCAGGAAAGUCCCCUCUUUCCUGUCCCUCACUCUUGUGGGGUUUGUGCGUAGAGAAAGGUAUGUUUAUCUGCAGAAAUGGUCCUUCAAACUUCACAGUGAUCUUAGACCCUCCUGUCAGCGUCCAAUGCAGAGGUUGGGAGCCGCCAAAAGCAUAUCACUAAUGCUCAUAAUGUGAGGUCCACUGCAAAUGACAUGGCAGUUUCAUGUUCCUAUCGCGUCUGUGCAGGGGCAGAGGGGUCCCCUGAACCUCUCCCUCUUCCCUUUUUUUUAAAUUACAUGUAAAUUUUAAAAAAUUUCACUUGUCUUAUAUAAAAAUUUUAAAAAUAAUAUUUUAUGAUC